rnacentral:lncRNA from 1 species
UAUUUUAAUUCAUCAUUUGAUUGGAUUGUAUUAAUUGCUGCAGAUUAAAAUUAUACUGAAGUCUUAAAUUAAUUAAUUGUAAAACAUCUUCAUAAUCAACAUGUUAUCUGAUGAUUUUUUGAAACAUAAACUCUCAUAAAAUGUACACAUAUUUUCCUAUGUGUAAUAGAAUUUUUGGACCAAACCACCCCAAAACUUCACACGGCACGUGAGGCAGCUAAUUCGGAGAAUUGCAAAAUUUGACCACACUCGUCAGCAAUAACUGCUCAACAAAUUCACAAAGCUAAAUCGACGAGGGAGAGUUGUUCAAAAUGUGGACGUAACAAACGAUGCGUUGGGUUCAAAUGAAAGCGCACGAUUUGUCAUUCGGCAUAUUCGACGAGCCCGUUUCUUCGAGGGAGGAAGUGCUGUAUCGGAAAUCUCGAGAAAACGUGAGGCUCUCCGAAGCUUGGAAGAGCUGGAUCGGUGAUUUGACUAGGACACGUAGGUUGAGAAUUCAUUUCUUUAAUUACAGCGAG